rnacentral:rRNA from 1 species
AUUGAACGCUGGCGGCAUGCCUUACACAUGCAAGUCGAACGGUAACAGGUCUUCGGAUGCUGACGAGUGGCGAACGGGUGAGUAAUGCAUCGGAACGUGCCCAGUUGUGGGGGAUAACUGCUCGAAAGAGCAGCUAAUACCGCAUACGACCUGAGGGUGAAAGCGGGGGAUCGCAAGACCUCGCGCAAUUGGAGCGGCCGAUGUCAGAUUAGGUAGUUGGUGGGGUAAAGGCCUACCAAGCAGACGAUCUGUAGUUGGUCUGAGAGGACGACCAGCCACACUGGGACUGAGACACGGCCCAGACUCCUACGGGAGGCAGCAGUGGGGAAUUUUGGACAAUGGGCGCAAGCCUGAUCCAGCAAUGCCGCGUGCAGGAAGAAGGCCUUCGGGUUGUAAACUGCUUUUGUCAGGGAAGAAAUCCUCUGGGUUAAUACCCCGGGGGGAUGACGGUACCUGAAGAAUAAGCACCGGCUAACUACGUGCCAGCAGCCGCCGUAAUAC